rnacentral:misc_RNA from 1 species
GAUGAAGAACGUAGCGAAAUGCGAUAAGUAGUGUGAAUUGCAGAAUUCAGUGAAUCAUCGAGUCUUUGAACGCACAUUGCGCCCUCUGGUAUUCCGGGGGGCAUGCCUGUCCGAGCGUCAUUGCUGCCCUCAAGCACGGCUUGUGUGUUGGGCCCCCCCCGUCCCGGUUCUCCAGCCGGGACGGGCCCGAAAGGCAGCGGCGGCACCGUGUCCGGUCCUCGAGUGUAUGGGGCUCUGUCACCCACUCGUGUAGGCCCGGCCGGCGGCCAGCCUCUUCAACCAAACUUCUUUAACCAGGUUGACCUCGGAUCAGGUAGGGAUACCCGCUGAACUUAAGCAUAUCAAUAAGCGGAGGA